rnacentral:lncRNA from 1 species
UCAGAAAGAAAAAAAACGGCACACCUUCCCUCGAUCUUCUUCUUCAUUUUCAUUUCUCAAAACCCCAACCCCCUCUCCUUCCUCAUCUCACUCAUCUGAUAGUACACACUCAAAGACGGAGCUCCCCCUUUCAUUCGUCAACAGAGAACACGGACAAGAAUAGGAGUCGGACAGAAUUUUUAUAGAGGGAGCUCGAACCCAAAUCUGAGGUCCUAAAAUCCAAAACAAAAAAGGGUAGAGAUUUAGAUUGAUUUUGCAUUCAAACAGUUCGAAAAAGCAGAAAAUGUUAUGGUUUGUUCUUGUUGAUUCAAGGAAUCUUUCUUUGUCAUUUCGUUGAAUUUCGAGUUUGGUUUGAAUCCGAAAUUGAAGUUGAGUAUGUUGUUCUUGAGCUGUUGAAUUCCGUGUUCAAUUCCAGCCUUUAUUUGGGUUGUUUUUUUCUACAAUUUCCCUGCUAUUAGGUAUGUAUUCCUUUAAGCUAUGUUCAGAUUUACUAUGAUAUGGAAUUGUGUUUAUUGUCUAGCUCAUUUUUUUAAGCUAUGGUCGAAUUCGAUUUCAUCUGUUAUUGCUAUUAGAACCCUAUCUGUUUUCAUUUUUUUUUUUUGGUAUGAAACUUGCAUAAUCAGCUGGGUUGAAAAAUUAGUGGCUCGGUAGUUGUUGAUUAACACGGAUUAUAAUUAUAUCCUUCAUGAUUAGAUAUGUAUUUUAUCCGUAAAUUAGUUAAUUUCACAUCUCCUUAUGGAUUAGAGUUAGAACUUAAAAUAAGAUAGUAGUGGAAAAGAACAAACUUUGGAGGUUCAGGAAUUCUGCAACUAAGAUUCAUAUCAUUAAAUGAUAAUCUCUCCUUCACUCGUUUAAGUAGAUUCGUAGUAAUGUUAGUCCCAUUCAAUGUGUGAAGAACUGCUCUUUCUCCUUCCCUGUGACUGUUAUUCUCAAUCUUGCGCUCUCUAUGCUACACUAGCAAGUCUGGUCUCAUGUAUCAAGUUAUGCUCUUUCUUUUAGCUUUUUUUCCCCUUUUCCUUAGGACUUUCAGAUUCCGGUAUGAACUUUACAUUUUCAUGAGAUCAUGUGGGAAGGGUCCAUUCGCGAGAAGCUUUAUUGUCCGAUAUCUUCUUCUCUUUUCAAUUAUUUUAGGUUUUCUUUACCUCUUUUAGUUGUUUACCUACUGAAUUUUUCUCUUUCUUGACAUGUGCAACUCUAUUAGGUCUGGUAAAACAUUUUCUACUAUGUCUUUUGUUAAUCUACUAUGCCUUGUGAUAUUCCUUAUGCAUGGCAACUGUCUGAUAGUGGCUUUUGUAUGAACUGGAAAUAUUAGGAGCUUGUUAUAUGGAUUCACAAAACUUAAAUAAAUGUUUGAAAAUAACCAUUGCGGGAUUUGGAGGAGAAAGUAACAUGGAGACUUUGCAUAAUCUUGUGGAGCGCUUGAAGAAUCCUCAACAUAUACUUGUUUUAAAAAAUAGGGAAUCCUUAAAAUGUAGAGAAUCACAGUGCUUUAAUCUUCUGUCAACAUUUGAGGAGAAUACCAAUUAAGCUCCAAUUAAUCAUGAACAAUCGUAGCAUGCUUUAGGCACGAUUAAUAAACCAUCAUGAUUAUGGGUAUGGUUCCCUGACAUAGUUACGAUGCCUAAUUUCUUAAAUUCGGGUGUGCAUUUCAUGUGACCCGAUCAUAACAACUUCGAACAAUAAUAAAUAAACAUGUCGCAAAUUGCGGGUGCAUAUCAUGUAGUGCGGUUUGUGAUGUGUCCCAAAACAACAAGUGUACGACAAUCGUAACUUAUUCAAGAAAUAAUUCCGUAAAUCCUAAAAAUAGUUUAAAUAAAUAAAAGCGGUUAUAAAAGUUAAAAAAUGCACAAUAGGUUUAAAAUAUGUAAUAAAUCAGAUAUUUAAGGCCAAUUAUUAAUAGUUUAAGCGACCGUCUCGAACCACGGAAUCCGGGAAUAUCUAACACCUUCUUCCGAGUUAACAUAAUUCCUUACAUAGAAUUUCUGGUUUCGCAGACUUUUAAAUAAAGUCAAAAUUCUUCUCGAUUUGGGAUUUAAAAUAAACCGGUGACUUGGGACACCAUAAAAUUAUUCCAAGUGGCGACUCUGAAAUAAAUAAAAUAAUUCAAUUUCGAUUUAUGUUACUUCAAUUGUCAAAACUCCCUUAUAUACCCUCUUUCGGGUGGUAGAAAGGAGGUGUGAUAGCAUGGACAAUUGGAAGGGAGUCCGGACAUGGCCAUCUUUGCCUUGUGUAGUCAUCAUACCCUUCAGAAUGGAUUUCAAGAGUCGCCUUCCUUGACCUCUGCAUUUGCCAUGAAUUCAAUGAUCUUAUUCCUGGAUAGCCUUUCAUCCAUCUGAAGGACCAUGUCCUUCCAGCCCUGAGCAGCUAGUGCAUCCACCAAUCAAACCAUUCCUAAUUCCAUCAAGUCUUUCAACAAUCUACCCUUCAAAAUGUUUCUUUUGUCAAACUUGGCUAGCUUGUCUUGUUCACCAUCAGACUCACUCUCUUCUUCACCACUCUAUUCUUCAUCCUCAACAAUUCUAUCCCGUUUGUUUUUCACUACAGACCUUGUCCUCUUGGCCAAUGAAGGAUCAACAGCCUUAGACACAGAUGAAGACUUCUUGAAAGAAGUCUUGGUCUUUUUGGGCUUGGGGGUCUGAACCUCCACAGUUGUGUGUUCCUCCUGAUGGACCUGCUCCAUCUCCUCAACAUCAACAGCCUCAUAGGGCUCUGCAACCUUAGCUUUUCCUUUAUCCAUCCUUUCUUCUUCUUUUCUGCCAUAACCUUUUGUAACUUACUCUCACUCUGCUUCAUCAUGCUUCGUGUGGCCCUUCUUUUUGGUAAAGAAAUCUCAGCAGUUUUUGGAGAAGAAGUCUUUCUUUUCUUAGAAGAUUUUGCAGUGCUGGGGCUUUUGGCAUUGAGGUUCUCCUUUUCUUUGGAUCAUAACUAGCACCUACUUUCUUCAGAAGGUCUGUUAGGGUCUCCUCAAUAGAUGAACCAGGUUCAUCUGCAUGUGCACUUAGAUUAACCAACCCUUCAACAGUCUCCCCUGAACCACUUCCCCCUGUCUUCUUGCUACUUUCUUCUACAGUUGCAUGUUCAACACCACAGAUAGCUGGUACCACCAAUUUAGAAGUGGGUGAAGAACCAGCCACUUCUUUCCCUUUUCCCCUCACAUCACUACGCACACCCUCACCCUCACUCUCCUUUUCUUUUUCUCUUUUAUUUUUAUCACCUCUCCUUCUUGACUCAGGCAAUUACACAUUCCUAACAGACCCAACUAGAACAAACCUAUUGUCUAAAUUCUAAACCAAAGCAGAACGUACCUAAGAAAGGGAGUUUUGAGCCUUCUCAGAGUCAGAAGACCCAGUUCCUACCCCCCUUACUCGUAGAUUUGAACGAAUCGUCUGAGUUCUCAGAAUCUUGGGCUUGGCUUGCCUUUAAUUUCUCGUUUAAUCUCUUUGAAAGAGCACCAGUUGCCACCGUUUUGCGGGCAAGCAUUUUUACUCGCCUUCUCCUAGGUUGAAGGGUUGUGCUAGGUGGAGGAGGGGUGGAUGAAUCAGAUGGGGUGGGUUGUGGAGGAGUGCCUGAGUUAUCUUGGGGAUUAGUCAUCUUGCUAAUUCUAGAAGAGAAUUUGUGAAUUGGGGUUUUGGAAGAGAGAAGAAUAGAGUGCAGAAGAAAUUCGAUGGUUUUAGAGAAUUAUGAAAGUGGUAGUGUGACGACCCGGCUAGUCGUCUCAUGAGUUACCACUCCGUAUCCCCCAUUUCUGCUUCUUUAUGCUUUGUUGUUCGUGUUUUGUGGUAUCGGGUUGGUCGGAUCGAAUCCGGAAUGAUUUUGGUAAGGUUUGAGACACUUAAUCUCUUUUAAGGAAGCUUAAGUUGGAAAAGUCAACAGGAUGUUGACUUAUGUGUUAGAGGGCUUGGAUGUGAGUUUCGAUGGUUCGGUUAGCUUCGAGAGGUGAUUUAUGACUUAGGAGCGUGAUCAGAAUGAGUUUCGGAGGUUCGGAGUAGAUUUAGGCUUGAAUUGGCGAAGUUGAUAUUUUGGCGAUUUCCGGUUGGUAGGUGAGAUUUUUAUAUAGGGGUUGGAAUGGAAUUCCGAGAGUUGCAAUAGUUUUGUUGAGUAAUUUGGGAUGUGCGUGCAAACUUUCAGGUCAUUCGGACGUGGUUUGGUUGGGUUUUUGAUCAAAAGCGGAAUUCGGAAGAUUUUAGAAAAUUUGGCUUGAAUCCGAUGUGUUUAGAUUGAUUCGAUGUUGUUCGAGAUGUUUUGAAGAUUGGUACAAGUUUGAAUAAGGUAUUAGGAUAUGUUUGUGCUUUUGGUUGAGGUCUUGGGGCCCUCGGGAUGAUUUCAGAUGGUUAACGGAGAAGUUUGGACUUUGUUGCAGCUACUGAAUUUGUUGCUUCUAGUAUUUCCACACUUGCGGAUUGGGGACCGCAGGUGUGGCACCACAUAAGCGGAGGAAUUGAUCGCAAAAGAGAAAAUGGCUCGAGGAGCAGGAACCGCAGAAGCGGGUAAGUGGACCGCAUUUGCGAUGUCGCAGAUGCGGGUAGGGGACCGUAGAUGCGGACUAAGGUCAGUAAGUGAUUUCAAACCUUAUUUACUUUAGUUACUUAGUGAGUUGGCGUACUGACAUACUCCCUGCACCUUGUGUGCAGAUCCAGGUGCCCGAGCGGCAGAGUGAGGGUCCUCAGCAUUUUCAGAGUU